ACGGGAGGCAGCAGUGGGGAAUAUUGCACAAUGGGCGAAAGCCUGAUGCAGCAACGCCGCGUGAGGGAAGACGGUCUUCGGAUUGUAAACCUUUGUCUUUGGUGAAGAAAGUGACGGUAGCCAAGGAGGAAGCCACGGCUAACUACGUGCCAGCAGCCGCGGUAAUACGUAGGUGGCAAGCGUUGUCCGGAAUUACUGGGUGUAAAGGGAGCGCAGGCGGGACAGCAAGUUGGAUGUGAAAUACCGAGGCUUAACCACGGAGCUGCAUCCAAAACUGUUGUUCUUGAGUGAAGUAGAGGCAGGCGGAAUUCCCGGUGUAGCGGUGAAAUGCGUAGAGAUCGGGAGGAACACCAGUGGCGAAGGCGGCCUGCUGGGCUUUAACUGACGCUGAGGCACGAAAGCGUGGGUAGCAAACAGGAUUAGAUACCCUGGUA
rnacentral:rRNA from 1 species